rnacentral:lncRNA from 1 species
GAGACCGAAAGCGGAAGUCACGGGGAGCUGGCGGCUGGGUUGGGCGGCGGAUCUGCAGAGUUUCGAGGUUCUGUCAAGUUCGCUGCCCGCCGCCCAACUUGAAGCCUCAUUUACCUUUCGGCUACCUGAUUUGGAUAAAUGGAGAAAAACCGGGGCCUCUAACUCAUAAUGCCCUCCCGCGUUCAAGAUGCCAGUUUUGGGGCGGAGAUUUCUAAAUUAAAGCCUACAUCCCGCGCGGGAAUAUCUGCUGGUAAUUUCUCGCCUGCCAGAAAACUCCUUUGAUCUCUGGCUGUGGAGACUCGGGACCCCUACCCAAGUAUGGGACACUGCCUCCGUUGGGGUUAUCUCAGAUCAAUGGAAUGGGAACAAGCUAUCCGGCCUGGGCGCCGUUCACGUCUCACAUCUGAGAUCGUAACACCGACUGUGCUUAGGACCUCAGCAAUAACUUUUUGCCGUCUCUGGCCCACUGACUCCUCUCAAAAUGUCCCCUGGUCCUUUUGCUAUUCACGUAUUUCUGUGGGCUUGAGAUUUGCUUAACUCCUAUAUUGGCAAAAGGCCACUUGAAAUCGCUAGCAGAUACUCGAUAACCUGAAAGGGUUAUCAUCUGAAAAGGGGAGCUGUGCUUUAGGCUCUUUUGACAUCACUACUCCCAGCACAAAGAGCUGCCACUUUGGGAAUGUUGAGUAG